GAUGAACGCUGGCGGCAUGCCUAAUACAUGCAAGUCGAACGAGAGGAAGGAAAGCUUGCUUUUCUGAAUCUAGUGGCGAACGGGUGAGUAACACGUAGGUAACCUGCCCAUGUGCCCGGGAUAACUUCUGGAAACGGAUGCUAAAACCGGAUAGGUAGCAGACAAGCAUUUGACUGCUAUUAAAGUGGCUAAGGCCAUGAACAUGGAUGGACCUGGGUGCAUUAGCUAGUUGGUGAGGUAGCGGCCCACCAAGGCGACGAUGCAUAGCCGGCCUGAGAGGGCGGACGGCCACAUUGGGACUGAGACACGGCCCAAACUCCUACGGGAGGCAGCAGUAGGGAAUUUUCGUCAAUGGGGGGAACCCUGAACGAGCAAUGCCGCGUGAGUGAGGAAGGUCUUCGGAUCGUAAAGCUCUGUUGUAAGAGGAAAACGACAUUCAUAGGGAAUGAUGAGUGAGUGAUGGUAUCUUACCAGAAAGUCACGGCUAACUACGUGCCAGCCGCCGCCGUAA
rnacentral:rRNA from 1 species